rnacentral:lncRNA from 1 species
AAAAAACGUACAGAAAACUGAGAGGAGGGCAGCUGCUAGGUCAGUCUAUAUAUGCAAACGCAGUGAGAGAAUAAAGGGCCGCCAAUAUAUAUAUUAUAUACACAGAGACGGGCUACUGGGAGUCGAAAAUACAGGCAGAAAAGUUAGCUGACUGAAAUUGAAUUCUGGGAAUUACCAGUAAAGUGGGUAGCUGGUUAGGAUAUAUUUUUACACGCAUAUACACAGAAAACGAGGCUGAGAAGAAUAGAUACACACCGGAGACGCAGAGACGGCACACACACAACUAGAAUUAUUCACGUCCCAUAAUGUUUUGGUGAUCUUCUUCCACUUUUAUUUGUUUAAUUCCAACAUCAUGUUAGGCUAAUUCUUCAUAUUGCAAAGAUGCGAUGAACCCUUGUUAUGAAUUUUUAAUUUGAAUAAUUUGAUUGACAUUGAUUUGUUUAAUUGUUUGGAUGUUUAUUAUUGUUUAAUUUGCUAUUCAAUUACUUUGCCAUUAAUUGAAUUGUUUGUGGAUUUUAUUGUUAUUAUAGAAGCCUAAAAAAAAAUAUAAAAAUGAAAUUAGGAUCAUAUUUUUAGGUGAUGAUUUAGCACCACGAGCCUAACCUAUAUAUGAACCUUAUGCUCGGUCUACACAAGAAAUGAAAGCCCAAUACUUGUCGAAUAUACCUUAAAUAAUUUUUAAAUGAAGUUGGAUGGAAUUUAAUGUUUUCCCAAAGAUUUGACCUGACGAUGAAACUUUAUAUAUAGUAAAUAUUUCUAAGAUUUGAUUUCGUACGUGUUAUUUUCCAAAAGGAC